rnacentral:rRNA from 1 species
UACGAAGGGGGCUAGCGUUGCUCGGAAUCACUGGGCGUAAAGGGUGCGUAGGCGGGUCUUUAAGUCAGGGGUGAAAUCCUGGAGCUCAACUCCAGAACUGCCUUUGAUACUGAAAAUCUUGAGUCCGGGAGAGGUGAGUGGAACUGCGAGUGUAGAGGUGAAAUUCGUAGAUAUUCGCAAGAACACCAGUGGCGAAGGCGGCUCACUGGCCCGGUACUGACGCUGAGGCACGAAAGCGUGGGGAGCAAACAGG